rnacentral:rRNA from 1 species
CCUACGGGUGGCAGCAGUGAGGAAUAUUGGUCAAUGGACGCAAGUCUGAACCAGCCAUGCCGCGUGCAGGAAGACGGCUCUAUGAGUUGUAAACUGCUUUUGUACGGGGGUAAACGCAGAUACGCGUAUCUGUCUGAAAGUAUCGUACGAAUACGGAUCGGCUAACUCCGUGCCAGCAGCCGCGGUAAUACGGAGGAUUCGAGCGUUAUCCGGAUUUAUUGGGUUUAAAGGGUGCGUAGGCGGUCGGAUAAGUUAGAGGUGAAAUCCCGGGGCUUAACUUCGGAAUUGCCUCUGAUACUGGUAGGCUAGAGAGUAGUUGCGGUAGGCGGAAUGUAUGGUGUAGCGGUGAAAUGCGUAGAGAUCAUAAAGAACACCGAUUGCGAAGGCAGCUUACCAAGCUACUUCUGACGUUGAGGCACGAAAGCGUGGGGAGCAAACAGGAUUAGAUACCCUGGUAGUC